rnacentral:tRNA from 1 species
GAAAUAAAAUAAUUAUUUUAAAUUUAUUUACAAUAAAUUUUU